rnacentral:lncRNA from 1 species
CGAUGUGCAUGUGAACUUCACUAAAGAAGAAUGGAAUUUGCUGCAUCCUUCCCAGAUGAAUCUCUACAAAGAUGUUAUGUUGGAGACCUACUGGAACCUUACUUCUAUAGGCUACAAAUGGGAAGACCAUCAUAUUGAAGAACCAUGUCAAAGUUCUCAAAGACAUACAAGGAUGCAGUGACUUUUGACGAUGUGCAUGUGAAUUUCACUAAAGAAGAAUGGAAUUUGAUGGAUCCUUCCCAGAUGAAUCUCUACAAAGAUGUUAUGUUGGAGACCUACUGGAACCUUACUUCUAUAGACUACAAAUGGGAAGACCAUCAUAUUGAAGAACCAUGUCAAAGUUCUCAAAGACAUACAAGGUAAUUUUCAUGUGCAAGCUGAUACAAAUAUGUCUGUGAGGAAAUUGUAAUAAGUCCUGGAAGUUCUAAAGAAAAGCAAGAGUGUCAAAUAUCAGUCCAUUGCCUGUAGGUAUGAUUAUGAUAUUCUCGCAAGUGCGUGUACCUCAGAGCCUAUUAUCUGAUUUGUGGUUCCAGUGCAUUCCUCUAUGAAUGGAAACAAGGAAACAAUGCCUUAAGAGAUCCCUUUAUUUGAUUUGUAGCUCCAUUAAACCUAUGCUAUGGAAC